rnacentral:rRNA from 1 species
AGCGAACGCUGGCGGCAGGCUUAACACAUGCAAGUCGAACGCCCCGCAAGGGGAGUGGCAGACGGGUGAGUAACACGUGGGAACGUACCCUUUGGUUCGGAAUAACUUGGGGAAACUCAAGCUAAUACCGGAUAAGCCCUUAUGGGGAAAGGUUUACUGCCGAAGGAUCGGCCCGCGUCUGAUUAGCUAGUUGGUGAGGUAAUGGCUCACCAAGGCGACGAUCAGUAGCUGGUCUGAGAGGAUGAUCAGCCACACUGGGACUGAGACACGGCCCAGACUCCUACGGGAGGCAGCAGUGGGGAAUAUUGGACAAUGGGGGCAACCCUGAUCCAGCCAUGCUGCGUGAGGGAUGACGGCCUUAGGGUUGUAAAGCUCUUUUACCCGGGACGAUAAUGACUGUACCGGGAGAAUAAGCCCCGGCUAACUUCGUGCCAGCAGCCGCAGUAA